CUGCAACCUCCGCCUCUCAGGUUCAAGUGAUUCUCCUACUUCACCCUCCCAAGUAGCUAGGAUUACAGGCACAUGCCACCAUGCCAGGCAGCUCUGAAUUUCCUUUGUUUGUUUGCUUUCUGAGUUGGGGUCCUCGUUCUGUCACCUAGGCUGGAGCGGACUGGUGCGUUCAUAGCUCACUGCAACUUAAAACUCCUGAGCUCAAGCCAUCCUCCACCUCAGCCUCCUGAUUAGCAGGGACUACAGGUGUGCACCACCAUGCUGGGCCAGCUCCAGAUUUCUUAUGCUCCGCAGGCUGGAGAAGUUAUGGAAGGGAUAUUCUGCAAGAUGAGGACAACUGAUUAUCAGAAGAAGGAAUGAGAACAUGAUCCUGCUUCUCUAGGGUUGAAGAGUCCCGGAAUAAACUGAACAAACAGAUGGCCUAUUUCUUCACUUGUAAAACAUUAAGUGUUAAAGUAUUAUAGAUAAUGUUUAAGGACUAUCCAGCCUUAAAAUCAAUGAGGAUUCAAAUAACUUGGGAAACCAGGUGGAUGAAACACAAACAAGAAAGGCAACGUCAGCAUGAACAUGGAGGAGGACGUCUUCGAGGGAGAGCUGGCAGGGCAAGUUCAAGAAAGAGAACCAUUCCGUGAAAGAGCACUUCUUCUACCAGCAGGUCUAGCACAGACCCGAUGUGUAUCCUGUAGCCUCAAGCUGUCCAGAAAGCUGCCAUCAGCCCUCCCUGAUGUGGGGUGCCGGCUGUCCGGGCUGAGCCACCAAUGCACAAGACACACCCUGGCCCAAAGUGCAUCACUAAGAGCCUCUCACAUUCUUCUGCUUCAAACAGGACCCAGGAGUACCGACUGAGGCAUUCGCCACCUUUAUUUACAGAACAGAUUUUGUCCAGCUUAGGAGUCAUCAGAUAAAGGAAGAAAACAUCUCAUUACAAAGUAGAAUUUCCCUGGAGACUCUCGGUCCCCAUAAAGGUGGUGGUCCUAGGGGGCAACAGAGACAAACUUCAGCAUCAGCAUUUUGACCUCCUUAGGAAAGCUGCUUGAGAGAGUCCAUACUCAGGUAUAAAACUUUCAAGGACAAAUUUAAGGAAAAUGGAAAACUAUUUCUACUUGUGGCUUCCUUACCAAGAACUUUCUCCUUUACAAGAAAAUGACUGCAUUCUGAUGGGAUCUGUGUGUUAAUAGUGAGACAAAAGUAUAAUCACCAUUUUUCAGAGACCCCUGUGGACUUUGACAAUGAGGUGCCAUGGGAGAUGGGCUAUUUUUCUCACAGUAGAGUCCCAAUAGGUGCUUUAUUUUGAAAUGUUCUGCUUACUAUUUUUAAUUAAAAAUACUGUUUACUUUCCUAUUACUACCUUUUUUGUGUUGAAUUUGGAAAAAAAAUACAAUAGACUCAAAGAAGAAAAUCAAAUCACC
rnacentral:lncRNA from 1 species